rnacentral:rRNA from 1 species
ACCAUGCAAGUCGAACGAUGAUGCCCAGCUUGCUGGGCGGAUUAGUGGCGAACGGGUGAGUAAUACGUGAGUAACCUGCCCUUGACUCUGGGAUAAGCCUGGGAAACUGGGUCUAAUACUGGAUACUACCUCUUGCCGCAUGGUGGGUGGUGGAAAGGGUUUUACUGGUUUUGGAUGGGCUCACGGCCUAUCAGCUUGUUGGUGGGGUAAUGGCUCACCAAGGCGACGACGGGUAGCCGGCCUGAGAGGGUGACCGGCCACACUGGGACUGAGACACGGCCCAGACUCCUACGGGAGGCAGCAGUGGGGAAUAUUGCACAAUGGGCGGAAGCCUGAUGCAGCGACGCCGCGUGAGGGAUGACGGCCUUCGGGUUGUAAACCUCUUUCAGUAGGGAAGAAGCGAGAGUGACGGUACCUGCAGAAGAAGCGCCGGCUAACUACGUGCCAGCAGCCGCGGUAAUACGUAGGGCGCAAGCGUUGUCCGGAAUUAUUGGGCGUAAAGAGCUCGUAGGCGGUUUGUCGCGUCUGCUGUGAAAGCCCGGGGCUCAACCCCGGGUCUGCAGUGGGUACGGGCAGACUAGAGUGCAGUAGGGGAGACUGGAAUUCCUGGUGUAGCGGUGAAAUGCGCAGAUAUCAGGAGGAACACCGAUGGCGAAGGCAGGUCUCUGGGCUGUUACUGACGCUGAGGAGCGAAAGCAUGGGGAGCGAACAGGAUUAGAUACCCUGGUAGUCCAUGCCGUAAACGUUGGGCACUAGGUGUGGGGGACAUUCCACGUUUUCCGCGCCGUAGCUAACGCAUUAAGUGCCCCGCCUGGGGAGUACGGCCGCAAGGCUAAAACUCAAAGGAAUUGACGGGGGCCCGCACAAGCGGCGGAGCAUGCGGAUUAAUUCGAUGCAACGCGAAGAACCUUACCAAGGCUUGACAUUCACCGGACCGCCCCAGAGAUGGGGUUUCCCUUCGGGGCUGGUGGACAGGUGGUGCAUGGUUGUCGUCAGCUCGUGUCGUGAGAUGUUGGGUUAAGUCCCGCAACGAGCGCAACCCUCGUUCUAUGUUGCCAGCACGUGAUGGUGGGGACUCAUAGGAGACUGCCGGGGUCAACUCGGAGGAAGGUGGGGAUGACGUCAAAUCAUCAUGCCCCUUAUGUCUUGGGCUUCACGCAUGCUACAAUGGCCGGUACAAAGGGUUGCGAUACUGUGAGGUGGAGCUAAUCCCAAAAAGCCGGUCUCAGUUCGGAUUGAGGUCUGCAACUCGACCUCAUGAAGUCGGAGUCGCUAGUAAUCGCAGAUCAGCAACGCUGCGGUGAAUACGUUCCCGGGCCUUGUACACACCGCCCGUCAAGUCACGAAAGUUGGUAACACCCGAAGCCGGUGGCCUAACCCCUUGUGGGAGGAGCCU